rnacentral:rRNA from 1 species
GAUGAACGCUGGCGGCGUGCCUAAUACAUGCAAGUCGAGCGAACAGAUGAGGAGCUUGCUCCUCUGACGUUAGCGGCGGACGGGUGAGUAACACGUGGAUAACCUACCUAUAAGACUGGGAUAACUUCGGGAAACCGGAGCUAAUACCGGAUAAUAUAUUGAACCGCAUGGUUCAAUAGUGAAAGACGGUUUUGCUGUCACUUAUAGAUGGAUCCGCGCCGCAUUAGCUAGUUGGUAAGGUAACGGCUUACCAAGGCAACGAUGCGUAGCCGACCUGAGAGGGGGAUCGGCCACAAUGGAACUGAGAAAAGGUCCAGAAUCCUAAGGGAGGCAGCAGUAGGGAAUCUUACGCAAUGGGCGAAAGCCUGACGGAGAAACGCCGCGUGAGUGAUGAAGGUCUUCGGAUCGUAAAACUCUGUUAUUAGGGAAGAACAAAUGUGUAAGUAACUAUGCACGUCUUGACGGUACCUAAUCAGAAAGCCACGGCUAACUACGUG